rnacentral:lncRNA from 1 species
UCACUUUCUUAUCUGCAUUUGUCUAAGACUAAGCAGAGGAAUAUGGAAGUAGCUGUAAAGUUGCUGAGUGAAACAAUAAGACUAAAAUGGACUGGGCAGUGCCAGGUUGGGGAACGACACCUUCAUUUUCUUUUUGGAUCUGGAUAGCACAUUCAUGCAAUUCUUGAUAAACUUAUUGUAUUGAUGCAUCACGUGGGGAAGAAACUAAAAUGCCAUCACAGGCGUACAUUCAGGUGAGUCGUUGCAGACGGCAAUGAUCCUCCAGGACAAGUUGUCGAUGAAGGCGGCAGAUAUGUUGAGCUUGGUCCGGAGGACCAUGAUGGAAGCCCUGGUCCUCUCGAUGGUGAACGACUCUACACCGUUAGCAUCCUGGGUCCUCAGCUGCACACACUAGCUUCUUCUCGUACGACAACAGCCGGACACGCUCCUCUGCUUGCAAAUGCAUUCCAGUUCAUAACUUGGCUUGAAUUAAGUGCACACAUUACCCAAGAGACAACCAUUUGAUAAGCAAAUCCAUUUGAAAAAAUAUAAACUGAGACGAUAAAGCUCUAAUAUCAAGUCAAUGAUUAUUAACAAAAAUAAAUACUAUGGUGCCUUUAGGUGUAUUUGACAACAAAUAAUAAGAAAUAUUAAGUAGAACUACUAAUCCUAGAACUGUCAUUGCCAUAUAGAAAGGAUCGGGUGUAUUUCCAUUAAGAAUUCACUUUUAUUUCAUUUGUCAAGAAGUCAAACUGAAGAGGAGAAUACCUCUUAUAUUACAUAUUUCUUCACCAAAGCGUUUUAACAUGCAAUGCAAGCAAGAGGUAGUUGAUCUCCUUACACCAAAAGUUCAACAAAUCAAUUUGCAAACAAAAAAGCUGAGAUAAAUUUCCAAAUAACAUGGUAUAGCCUUUUCUUAAUUAACGCAAUAAUUUUAAAAAAAGGGAUAUCCUCAUGAACAGCAGCAGAAGAGGGAAAGCCAAAAAUGUUUCUCCAAACUAAUGACCCAAAGUUCUGAAGUAACCUCUAAAAUUCUUGUUGGACAACUGAACUGUCAUAUCUUUCAACCACAAAAAGAAAAAUGACAGUACAUACUAUAUCUUGGCUACAGUAUGCUACCAAAAAUGGCUAGGACCAUACAUAAUUACCAAUAUUAAAAUCUUGGAGUGAUCACUCUGAUGAUAUUUGUUGCACAACACAGAACUGAUUUUAAUCUCAUUGCUUGAGGAAAAAAUUGAUGGUAUAUAUGAAAUAUCAAAACUACAUAGCUGAUUUAUCUGGACAUCAGUAUGUACAGAAGUUGUCAUAUAUAAAAGAUUCAGAAUAAAAAUAAUAGCUAUUCAUCUCAAAACUUAAUCGGCAAACACAAACAAGGUAAUGCUAGCUAGUAGUCUAGUACCUUUGAAAUGAAGGGAGGGGUAUUCAAGAUGGGAUGGGAUUCAUCAUCAAAUGGAUCUAUAAAUGCAUCAUGGAUGACCAACCUCGGUUUUCUUUUUUAAUGAAACGAAAGUUCGGAUUCUGAAUCUGCAUAGGCACUUGUUAAGUUCAGUGCAAGACAAAAGCUACAAUCCAUUCAGCAAAAGCCCUAAUGUUUCUAUUCCCAAACCUGGUUAAAAGGAUCAAUCAUUUGUGGCAGGGAGGGUAGAUGUCGCUCUGACAAAUCAUACUAGGCUUGUGGCCCUCCUGAAAGACAAUGGAACAAAUAUUAACAUGUUUUCUGCGAGGGCAUUCAUAAGUAAGAUAAGUUGAUUGUAGAACAUGGCAUAUGUACACUUUUUAACACUUUAGCAUAGCUCUACAAAUGGGGUUCAGAGAACAGAAACGUCAUUUGAUUCCAUCCCAAAUCAGGACCAUGUUUGUAGAUAGUAGGCUGUAUAGGUUCUACAAUCUUUUACAAAGGGCCUCGCCUAAACAAGUGUGGCAAUAAAACAAAAUCAAUGGGGAAUUAAAAUAUUUAUUUUAAGAAAUAGAUCAUCAAUGAAAAACAUACGUCACCAAAUAUUAUAUUCCCUCCGAUCCGUAUUAAUUGACGGUGGUUUAGUACAAAGUUGCACUAACUUUGUACUAAAGCAGCGUCAAUUGACCGGAGGGAGUACUUAAUUUUUAAUAAUUGCUCAUCACCCUUGGUUCAGAAAACAUAUUUUAGCACACAAAAGAGAAAUAACUGUAGGAAAUACGUAACUUUGUAGAUAUGUCUACCCUUCUCUCAGCAGCUCUGUACCUAUUAAGUAUUUAUCUGUAAGAAAAUGACACAUCGAGAAAUUUCGAGUAACCAGAUGAACUUGUAAGUACCGCAUCUGAAGUCCAUAACACGUAAUAUCCAUUCUCAUAGAUGUAGUACUGACCAUAUAUGUUGCUGUAGUACGAGGCAACGACAGGGUCAUGGUAAAAGCCAGUACUGAAAAUGAAAAUCCACUCCACUAAUCCCCUUCUCUGUCUCUGCCUUUAGCAUAAUUGCUAGAUCUGAAUCUGUAAACCAUGACAGAGAAGUGUGAAGCACAGUGACAAUAGAAUUAGCUUACCCUUCAUACUGUUGUAGAGCAAAGUAAUUAUUCCAAAGGCAAGUGCACCAUCAGCAUGUGCUUCUGCAAAAAUUAUCACUGAAGCAAUCAUAUCAGAAAUUCAUUUAACUGAUAUUAGUGUGUAAAGCAAGAAUAAGGUAAAAAGGCUUAUCCGUGUUAAACAAACCCUCCUGCAUGAGAAAUAUAGGACUAUUAUUAUAUUAAAUAACAGUAGAGACUACAAUGAGAUAACAAUCCAAGUAGUACAAUAAGAACUAUUGCAUCUUGAGGUAGAGAUUAGGACAAGGGAAACAAAAGCAAUGCUCACCAUUGAGAAAUCCUCGGAGAUUGAAACAAGGGUGGGGAAUCUUAAGCUUCACAAUUUUGUGCCUCCAAUGGUUGAGGCCUUCAUUGACCAAUCUAUAGCAG